rnacentral:tRNA from 1 species
GCCGAAGUGGCGGAAUUGGCAGACGCGUUGGAUUCAAAAUCCAAUGGUCCUCGUGGCCUUGUGGGUUCGAGUCCCACCUUCGGUA